rnacentral:rRNA from 1 species
UACGUAGGUGGCAAGCGUUGUCCGGAUUUACUGGGCGUAAAGAGCGCGCAGGCGGUCGGCCAAGUCGAGUGUGAAAGCCCCCGGCUCAACUGGGGAGGGUCACGCGAUACUGAUCGACUCGAAGGCAGGAGAGGGUAGUGGAAUUCCCGGUGUAGUGGUGAAAUGCGUAGAUAUCGGGAGGAACACCAGUGGCGAAGGCGACUACCUGGCCUGUUCUUGACGCUGAGGCGCGAAAGCUAGGGGAGCAAACGGGG